rnacentral:rRNA from 1 species
CAGCAGCCGCGGGAAUACGGAGGAUCCAAGCGUUAUCCGGAAUCAUUGGGUUUAAAGGGUCCGUAGGCGGUCUUGUAAGUCAGUGGUGAAAGCCCAUCGCUCAACGGUGGAACGGCCAUUGAUACUGCAGGACUUGAAUUAUUGGGAAGUAACUAGAAUAUGUAGUGUAGCGGUGAAAUGCUUAGAGAUUACAUGGAAUACCAAUUGCGAAGGCAGGUUACUACCAAUUGAUUGACGCUGAUGGACGAAAGCGUGGGUAGCGAACAGGAUUAGAUACCCCAGUAGUCCCUGUCUCUUAUAU